rnacentral:rRNA from 1 species
CUACAGGCUUAACACAUGCAAGUCGAGGGGCAGCAUUUUAGUUUGCUUGCAAACUGAAGAUGGCGACCGGCGCACGGGUGAGUAACACGUAUCCAACCUGCCGAUAACUCCGGAAUAGCCUUUCGAAAGAAAGAUUAAUACCGGAUAGUAUACGAAUAUCGCAUGGUAUUUUUAUUAAAGAAUUUCGGUUAUCGAUGGGGAUGCGUUCCAUUAGUUUGUUGGCGGGGUAACGGCCCACCAAGACUACGAUGGAUAGGGGUUCUGAGAGGAAGGUCCCCCACAUUGGAACUGAGACACGGUCCAAACUCCUACGGGAGGCAGCAGUGAGGAAUAUUGGUCAAUGGGCGAGAGCCUGAACCAGCCAAGUAGCGUGAAGGAUGAAGGCUCUAUGGGUCGUAAACUUCUUUUAUAUGGGAAUAAAGUUUUCCACGUGUGGAAUUUUGUAUGUACCAUAUGAAUAAGGAUCGGCUAACUCCGUGCCAGCAGCCGCGGUAAUACGGAGGAUCCGAGCGUUAUCCGGAUUUAUUGGGUUUAAAGGGAGCGUAGGUGGAUUGUUAAGUCAGUUGUGAAAGUUUGCGGCUCAACCGUAAAAUUGCAGUUGAAACUGGCAGUCUUGAGUACAGUAGAGGUGGGCGGAAUUCGUGGUGUAGCGGUGAAAUGCUUAGAUAUCACGAAGAACUCCGAUUGCGAAGGCAGCUCACUAGACUGUUACUGACACUGAUGCUCGAAAGUGUGGGUAUCAAACAGGAUUAGAUACCCUGGUAGUCCACACAGUAAACGAUGAAUACUCGCUGUUUGCGAUAUACAGUAAGCGGCCAAGCGAAAGCAUUAAGUAUUCCACCUGGGGAGUACGCCGGCAACGGUGAAACUCAAAGGAAUUGACGGGGGCCCGCACAAGCGGAGGAACAUGUGGUUUAAUUCGAUGAUACGCGAGGAACCUUACCCGGGCUUAAAUUGCAACAGAAUAUAUUGGAAACAGUAUAGCCGUAAGGCUGUUGUGAAGGUGCUGCAUGGUUGUCGUCAGCUCGUGCCGUGAGGUGUCGGCUUAAGUGCCAUAACGAGCGCAACCCUUAUCUUUAGUUACUAACAGGUUAUGCUGAGGACUCUAGAGAGACUGCCGUCGUAAGAUGUGAGGAAGGUGGGGAUG